rnacentral:rRNA from 1 species
UACGGGGGGGGCAAGCGUUGUUCGGAAUUACUGGGCGUAAAGGGCUCGUAGGCGGCCAACUAAGUCGGAUGUGAAAUCCCCAGGCUUAACCUGGGAACUGCAUCCGAUACUGGAUGGCUUGAAUCCGGGAGAGGGAUGCAGAAUUCCAGGUGUAGCGGUGAAAUGCGUAGAUAUCAGGAGGAACACCGAUGGCGAAGGCAGCUCGCUGGGACGGUACUGACGCUGAGGCGCGAAAGCGUGGGGAGCGAACAGG